UCAUAUUUUUCACAUACUGAUUGUGCAGGUUGUAGAAGAUGGAUAUGAGUUCUUUGCAAAGAGACAACUGGUGACAAUAUUCUCUGCACCCAAUUACUGUGGCGAGUUUGACAAUGCUGGCGCAAUGAUGAGUGUUGAUGAUAGCUUAACAUGUUCAUUCCAAAUCCUUAAGGCAUCUGAGAAGAAAGGAAGAUUUGGAUUCAACAAUAAUGUUCCUAGACCUGGAACCCCACCUCAUAAGGGUGGAAAAGGUGGUUAAGUCCUUGUUACCAACGUGGGAAUCAAUUAAAGAGUGAAGCCAAUGGGUUCGAAGAUUGCAACAGUUUGUUUUGUUAGAUUGUUUUUUGUUUGGUUGAGGCAACAUUAUGUUUUGUUUAGAUUGUUUUGUAAUAUUGUGGGAAAUGUACACAGCAUUUUCAAUUGAAGAAAGUUGGGUUUAUACA